UAAUUGGUGAGAGUCCAAUCUGAGUAAGUACCAAGGCGCUCAAUAGCUGACAGGCAACUGGUGGAGAAAUCCUAAGGUUGAAGACCUGGGACAAAGUAACCCUCAGGAAGAGUGCGAGAACCUAACAGGUUGUAACAUAA
rnacentral:ncRNA from 1 species